AUUCUAGCUUUCUGCUACAUCUGCAGAAAGCUAUUUACUUCAGAAAAUAAAAAACAUCAUUAGAUUUGUGUUAAAAGUUAAACUCAUUUGUUUAAUUAAGCAUUAUUUAGAAUCAGAAACACGAUUCAUUUAUUGACAUUAUACAAAAACUGCUCUACGAUAAGCAGCAGAUUUUUCAUUCUACCUGAGGAGAAAAACUAUGGAAGUUCUCACCCGUCUGUUGUUUCUUCUGAUGACUCUGAUCAGCUGGUCCGUGUGUCAGGAUCAGAGAACAAUCAAAGCAGAACCUGGACAGAACGUCAUUCUGCCAUGUAAAGGCUCUAAGAACUGCACAGUCACGUUUCUGAAGUUGAUCCGACCAGACCUGGAUCCAGAAUAUGUUCUGGUCUACAGGGAUGACAGGAUUUAUGAGCAGUUCCAGAAUCCACGUUUCAAAGGCAGAACUGAACUGCAGAGCCUCAGCAGUUCUGAUGGAAAUGUCAAUGUGAUUUUACACAACAUGACAGAGGAUGACAGUGGCACAUAUGUGUGUCGUGUCAGGUGUGACACUGAUGGAGCGACCUCAGAGAGAAUCAUCCAGCUGAACCUAGUCCCUCCAGGGAAUGGACAAAAAGAAGAUGGAGUGAUCAAAGAUGAAAAGGACACACUUGGAAACAUUCUAUUUUAUGUUGCUGCUGCCUGUGCUGGGAUUAUUUUAACUGUUUUAAUUAUUGCUCUUGCAAUAAUUAUCAGGAAGAAGAACAAGAAGUCGAUGUCUUCUCCUCUUGAUGGUCCAAUGACCCGACUGAAACUUAAUGUAUCUGCAAAAGCAUCAAGCAAAGCGCAGUGUUCAUCAACAUUGUCCUUAGUCAAUGAGAACUAGGAAUUAUUAGCCAUAAAAUAUUUUAACUAUCAAUGUGGCAAAAAUGAAUUAGAUCAGUGAUCUAGUGAGGAAACAGGAGAUCAGUUCUGUAUCUUGUUCCUCAGCUGAUCUCAUCAGAUUCAGAGCUGGUGGUCUCCACUGCACUGAUCAUGUGACUCCUCUGAGAAUUGCUACCUUGUCGUGGUAGAGGGGCUUCAGGGACCUCCAGAUCCUGGCUGCUUUGGUUCAGAGUCUCCUCUGUGAGCCUUCAGCCAGGGGAUGGGGGUCUGACUAAAGUAAUUAAAAAACACACACAGGUUGGUGCUAACAUUUCAUCCAUAGUGGAUUAUAGUAACAAUCUUUGUAUUUAAACUAUGAGCAGAUGAAUGUUUGCAGAACAAGAACAUUAUUGAUAGUACAAAAAAAGAAUUUAGAGCCUUCAAGAAACAUACGUUUUUCUAACUGAUCAGUUAGAAAAAUGUAUGCAAAUGGACACUAUAGAAAUAGUUCAUUAUAAUCUAAUCCUACAGUUUAACUUGUAUGGAAAUAACAUGGCAGGAGGUUCAGUGUCUUUCAUGCAGCUUCUGUAGAUAAUUGAAUUCUCUGAUGUCCUGUAAUUGAUUUACGGCAGCAGCAGGCUGUGGCCAUUAUUACUGUCUAGACUGAAGCAGGGAGGAAAACCAGGCCUGGGUAUUUAAUGUAAAAGGUUAAACUUUGUUUUGGAUAAAAGUUGAUGUCUGAUCAGAUAAUAAAUAUAUUUUAUAGA